GAAAAGCCCCUGGUGAAAAACUUCUCUGGUGGGUGAAGAUCAGUGAUGGCCCGAAAUCAUCUCGGUGUUCUGAAGCCUAGGAAAGCUGUUGGCCUGGCACCGGGGCCACUUCCUACAAGAACUGGCAGCCUCAGGCGGAAUGUUUGAGGGCAGCUGACCUGAACAGACUGAUCCGUCUGCCUGGAAGAUUCUUCUAACUCAGCUGGAGAAUGGCUGCUCAAUAAUGCAGCCCCUUUCUUCCUGUAAGCUGCUAUGGGAGUGAGUGCUUCUUGGAAGGGCAGUAGCUGGUUUGCAAUCUACAAGGAUGAGUCUGAGGAUAGAGAGCCUCCAAGCGAAGACAUCCUGCCUUCAGGACAGGGAAGAUGCAGAGAGGGCGAGAGGCCGUUCCUUUCUACGUGUCAGCUUUCUAGUUUAAAAUCUACAGUCAGUGUUCAGUCUAUUCAGUCAUGCAGUGAUGUCAGGACAAAUGUACCACGAGUGCCUGAGAGUCCAGUCUUCCCCAAGAAGAGACAAGCACGAAGAUCCUAGGAGGAAGCACGCUGACGGGGACUAGUCACGGCCACGACACCUCUAGUGUCAGGGCAGCCCUGUGGCCCCUCGAGCUGCUGUGUAACCAGCUCCUCUGGGAAAGCACAAGCCCUUGGAAUGCUCUCCAGCUCCCUUGUGAGUAAUUUUCGAGAAGAACACAACUUUGCCAAGAACAUCCCGCAAUCUGGGUGUCUUGUCUUUGAAGACUUUGGAAAAUUUGGAUGACGUGCCUAGCGCCAUAAUUUAUACUUCAGUAGGUAAGGCUGAUCUGGGGAAACGCAACUUUGACUAAUUUACUGGCAGGAGGUUGACUCUUCCCGGUGACACAUCUGCAGAUCAUUUUCCCUCCAUGCUCUGUUUUGGGGUUUUUGGGUUAUCAAAGCCCCAGCACACCUGCUGGCCGCACGCACAUGCUGCACUGGGCCUUCCCCGAACGCCCCAUGUCCGCCACCUGGCGUGGCCAUGGAAAAGAGUCACACACGGAAGAGGGGUGACAAGCAGCCUCUUUGUGACUUCACUUUUCCUUCUUCUUCUUAAGGCCGGUCUUCAUCAAUGCAAUGGAAUCAUCCAUGUGUGGCUCCCGAGGAAAGAAGGUGUGGUUUACUGCCAGGUGCUCUUCAGAGCUGAGUCCCUCUAACAGCAGGCCUGUUAAGGCGUGGCUGCGGCCUGAACCCUCCGGCUGAGCCUUUGCCUCCCAGGUUCCUGGACAUCCUCCACUCACUCCUCUGUUUGUGGGACCCUGCCUGGCCUGUCUGAUCCUCCUUGAGAUUUUGGCCCACAUAUAUCAAUUUCUCUCUGCCCCCAUGCAGUGGUAGUCACCGUUCUGUCCCCCGCGGGUGCUGGUGAGAAAGGUAAAAGGGCGGUUCCAGAGCCUGAGGGCCUGUGAGUGCAGUUUACAUAACUGCCGAAACUUAAGGAAGCGUCUAAAUAAAAAGAAACAUGUUAACCCAAAAUGGUUUAUUUGUUUUUUUUUUUUUUUUGGUUUCCAGAGCUCAUGCAAACAUGCAAAAAAUAGAGUAAGAAAAAAGCAAUUCUUCUCACAAAACAAG
rnacentral:lncRNA from 1 species